rnacentral:rRNA from 1 species
GACGAACCGUGCGAACGUUGUUCGGAAUCACUGGGCUUAAAGGGCGCGUAGGCGGCAUAGCAAGUCCGGGGUGAAAGCCCCCGGCUCAACCGGGGAAGUGCCUUGGAAACUGCUGUGCUCGAGGGAGGUAGGGGUCGAGGGAACUUCUGGUGGAGCGGUGAAAUGCGUUGAUAUCAGGAGGAACGCCGGUGGCGAAAGCGCUCGACUGGACCUUUUCUGACGCUGAGGCGCGAAAGCUAGGGGAGCAAACGGG